CCUACGGGUGGCAGCAGUGAGGAAUAUUGGUCAAUGGUCGGGAGACUGAACCAGCCAAGCCGCGUGAGGGAUGAAGGUACAGAGUAUCGUAAACCUCUUUUGUCAGGGAACAAAGGCGGGGACGUGUCCCCGGAUGAGUGUACCUGAAGAAAAAGCAUCGGCUGACUCCGUGCCAGCAGCCGCGGUAAUACGGAGGAUGCGAGCGUUAUCCGGAUUUAUGGGGGUUAAGGGGUGCGCAGGCGGUCUGUUAAGUCAGCGUGAAAAGCCCGGGGCUCAACCCCGGCCCGCCGUUGAAACUGGCAGUCUCGAGUUGGAGAGAAGUAUGCGGAAUGCGUGGUGUAGCGGUGAAAUGCAUAGAUAUCGCGCAGAACUCCGAUUGCGAAGGCAGCAUGCCGGCUCCACACUGACGCUGAGGCACGAAAGCGUGGGUAUCGAACAGGAUUAGAUACCCCAGUAGUC
rnacentral:rRNA from 1 species